rnacentral:tRNA from 1 species
GGAGUCGUGGUGUAGAUGGCGAGCACUCCGCCCGCGAAGGGCGGAAGAGCAGGUUCGAAUCCUGCCGACUCAC